rnacentral:rRNA from 1 species
CGAAAGCCUGACGGAGCAAGACCGCGUGAGGGAGGAAGGCUCUUGGGUUGUAAACCUCUUUUCUCAGGGAAGAAGCUCUGACGGUACCUGAGGAAUCAGCCUCGGCUAACUCCGUGCCAGCAGCCGCGGUAAUACGGAGGAUGCAAGCGUUAUCCGGAAUCAUUGGGCGUAAAGCGUCCGCAGGUGGCGUAUCAAGUCUGCUGUCAAAGACUAGAGCUUAACUCCGUUAAGGCAGUGGAAACUGAAUGGCUAGAGUGCCGUAGGGGUAGAGGGAAUUCCCGGUGUAGCGGUGAAAUGCGUAGAGAUCGGGAAGAACAUCGGUGGCGAAAGCGCUCUACUGGACGGCAACUGACACUCAGGGACGAAAGCUAGGGGAGCG